CGGGGAGGAGCCUGUUCCUGUGUGGCGACCUGGGCUUCAAUCUGUGAGGCGGGAAACCUGCUAGCAGGACUCUUGCUUUGGUCGAGAGAAAUCGUUGGGUGCCGAACAGUUUAGAAGAUAAAACAAACGAAAGAACACCUGAAACAUUAUAGACAUUAAGUACAUAAAAAGCAAACAGAAAAUUCUAGUUUCCACCGAGAAGUAUCAUAUCACUUAAAAAAGAAUAAGAAUCAGAAUGAUGGUUUCCAGCUUCAUCCAUGUCCCUACAAAGGACAUGAACUCAUCCUUUUUUAUGGCUGCAUAGUAUUCCAUGGUGGAUAGCAUUAGGAGAUAUACCUAAUGUAAAUGACAAGUUAAUGGGUGUAGCACACCAACAUGGCACAUGCAUACAUAUGUAACAAACAAAUGUUGUGCACAUGUACCCUAGAACUUAAAGUAUAAUAAUAAAAAAAGAAUAAGAAUCAUGCUGACAUUGGACUUCUCAAUGACAACACUGGAUGCAAGAUAAUGGAGUUGUCCAGCUAAAAAAGUUAUAUUUCUGAUAUAUUCAUGUAAACAAUUAUAAGUAUUAGGAUGUAAUAAAGAUAUUCUCAGGUAUACAUGACCUCAGGCUUACUACAUGAAGAUGCUCUUUGAAAACAUGCUUGUGGGAAGUUCUCUGAUUCAAGGAGAAAUAAAUACAGAAGAAAAUGAUAAAAUAUGUGAGAUAAAAUGUGGUCUUCUGUGAGAAGAACAUGCCCCAGGUAGCCUCUUCUUUGAGAAGCACAAGGAAACACAUGGUGGUGGAACUGAACACAACCCACAGCCUGGAGCUAAACCCAACCUAAGCCAGCCAAGCUCUUCCAAGAUCACCCAAACUCAAGUUGACCCGUAGAUCCAUGGGCAAGGAAAGAAAUGCCUGCUGUUUUAAGAUCUCAAGUUUUAGGUUGAUUUGUUAUGCAGCAUUAUUGCAGUAAAAAUGAACUAAUACACUACCUAA